rnacentral:rRNA from 1 species
GUGCCUAAUACAUGCAAGUCGAACGGUCUUCCUAUGGAAGCUUGCUUCCACUGAGAAGAUAGUGGCGAACGGGUGAGUAACACGUGGGUAACCUGCCCAUAAGAGGGGGAUAACAUCCGGAAACGGGUGCUAAUACCGCAUAGUUUUUCUUGAUCGCAUGAUUGAGAAAGGAAAGACGGCCUUUGUGCUGUCGCUUAUGGAUGGACCCGCGGCGUAUUAGUUAGUUGGUGAGGUAACGGCUCACCAAGACGAUGAUACGUAGCCGACCUGAGAGGGUGAUCGGCCACAUUGGGACUGAGACACGGCCCAAACUCCUACGGGAGGCAGCAGUAGGGAAUCUUCCGCAAUGGACGAAAGUCUGACGGAGCAACGCCGCGUGAGUGAAGAAAAGGUUUUCGGAUCGUAAAACUCUGUUGUCAGAGAAGAACAAGUUGGAGAGUAACUGCUCCAGCCUUGACGGUAUCUGACCAGAAAGCCACGGCUAACUACGUGCCAGCCGCUGC